CUUGACAACGAGCAUAAACUUUAAAUUGUUUGAUCGAUACUUUACGAGAUUUUUUAUUGGGGGAAGUGCGCUAUUUCCUUAUGCAUAGCUGUAUGUAUAUAUAUGUAUCUAUAUUAUUGGAAAAAGUCAUCCAAUGCAAAAUAGUUUAAUCAAAAUGAACUAAAUGAAUCAGUAAUCACAUUAUUUAUCUUUAAAAUUAGCUUAUUUAUGCUAAAAAAAUUUCAUUUGUAUAUACAUAAAUACGUGUAUAGGAGUUGCAAUUUAUAUGUAUUUACCUUAUUUCAUCGAUGGCAAAAGACAAGUACCACAACGCAAACAUUUUUCUGCAAAAAUAUAAAAGAAUUUGUAUUAUAUGUAUAUGUUCUGGCGAAAUGUACACAGAGUUUGUUUUAAUAGAUGGAUAUACCCUACUUCGUUUUAAUUUCAUAGAAUCAGCCAUUGAUGUGCUCUUUCAUAAAAUCAGCUUUAAAAAAUAGAUAACUAUUUUAUAUGCGAAAGUCUUAAGCUAGGAUCAGAAGUAUUCCCCGGACUAUAUGCCAGUCGUAUUAAGCUAUGUUAGGUACAGGAUGGAAAUACACUCAUACUGAGAGCACCUAUUAUGAUACUGUUGCUGUAGCUUGUAAAGUUAAUAAGCCUCAAAAAAUGGUAAAGAAGAGGGUGCAUUAAAUGUAUGAGAUGGUAAAUUCUAUCGUUAUUGACUAUUAACUGAUCGGGGUAUUAAGAUUAAAUAAAACUAAAAGUAAUGCGUGAAUUGCAAAUGUUUGUCGUCUUGUAUUUAGUAGGUGGGCACUGAAGCAACUUCCCAGUAGCUAAACUAUCACAAGCCACGGGAAUUUGGCGAAAUCUCAACUCAUCUGAAAUUGAAGAAAAGUGAUUAGCAGCAAGUUUUUGAUUAGCACAAGCACGACUCACAUAUUUGACGUGAAGAGGUGAUGAAGAAGUAUCAAGGUGGACAUCUUUUCGCCAGCUGCCCAUAUUUUAUCAUUCUGUAUAUUCUCAACGCUCUGAACUUGGCAUCACAAUGAGCUCUUCAUAUGUACUUGUAUGUACAUACUUAUAUAUGUAUUUUACUUCUAUGAGUAAUGAUCACCGAUAAUCUUGGCGCCUAAUUUUAUAACUAAGGCAAAAUAUGCAGCUAGAAAGCCGCGGUAGAGUAUUCUAACGUGUUACCUCAAAUGAUGAUGACCCAGUAGGAUGAGUCUGAUGAAAUUAUUUUAAAACUAUUUAUUUUUC